ensembl:lncRNA
UUGGAACAAAGGGAACAAAGGAUUUUCUCCAUUUUUAAUAAAUCAACUGUUACAUUAAAAUUAGUCACAGUUAAAAAAAAAAAAAAGCCAGUUAAAUAGAAACAAAAUGUGCACAUUUUCCAUUUUAGAAAUGGUAAAUGAGAAGAGAACCCUUGGAGAAAAACUUUCUUUUAAAUAGGUGAGAUCUGUUGUAGUUAUCAGUAACUUAAAUUUGAGGCUUGGUGGUUUUAAUGUAAUUUCCCCUUAUAGUAUGAACAAUAAAUAAAUGAGAUAUACCAAACGCAUGAAGUAUUUUUAUAUAUUUGCUAUGAAAAGGCCAUUGUUGCACAAAACACACUCUUUGAUCUUAGUGGAUAUCCAGUAGCUUGCAGUAGGACUGCGGGGGGGGACCCAAAAAUUGCCUUUCUAGGACUAAACUUUGCGCUGAAAGGGAAGAAAUCCAAGCAGCAUCCCUUGUUGGGAGAGUCUCAGACUGAGCUGAAGGGCACGGGCACCAGCACCAGUGUUUCCCCUGUGCCAUCAGAGGAUAAAUCACAGACUAGAUACAGAAAUGAGGUCCAGUGUUUUGUCAGUUGUACUACUGGAGAGAACCAUAGCUCCCUUCGUCUGUCUCACCUCCCCUGCAAAUGAGCAUGUCUCCUUUGUCCUGCCUGGCUGUAAUUUUGCAUGAACAAUGCUUUCCUGAGUUGGUUUGCCAAGAGCAUGUCUGGGGAUAAUCUUUUGAAGCUAAAGUGAUAGGUGGGAUGGAGACCAGAAAGGAAUCUUCCAGCACACAAAAGACACUUGGGUAAGCAGCCUGGGAACAACCCAGUUCAGGACUGCCACUGGUGGCAUGCAAAGCAGUGACUGAUAAAGGAGGUCAGUGUUUUUAAAAUGCUGUAGAUGGAUAUAUAAUUGAAUGUACGACUGCUUGACAUUUUUGUGGAAAAAAUAUCUGCAAUAUACAUAUUCUAGACUGGAUCCUAGUUCUCUUUUUUAGAGCUAUGAAAUCUUCAGACAUAAAAAAAUCUCAGCUGCUUAAGAAUGAAGGAAGGGUUUGCUGUUUUGCUGAAACUUCAGGUUUCUCCUGCUGACUAAACUCCACGAGAGGAAAUCCCAGGGAAGGGGCUGCAGGGGAAAUCACCUGAGGGGGACAGUGUGGCCGGCUCCUGUGCCUAUUAAAUGUUUCUUUUGAGCCCUGGAAUUUCUGCUACGCUUGGUCUGGUUUUAAUAACAGCCUUUGCAGGAUCAUAGGAAAUUGAGUCAGAAAAUGGGUCUGAGAUAUUAAAAGGGGGGGAAAAAUAGUUUUGAGGAAGAGUUCUGGUGGAAACUUGAGCUUCCUCUGUAACUUUUUUUUGAACUGGGGCUCUAUGCUCUGACUGCAGUACCACCAUUUUCUGCAAUGAUUCCUUGAAGUGUCAGGAUCUCUCAGAUCUAGGGAAAUAGUUUAGCUUCCUGAGAAGACAGUUGUAUUUUUAAAGUUCAUCUAGCUUUCCAAAGGAGCUUUUUAUUGCAGCUCCUGUCACUGUCAUGUGGAGCUGAAAAUCCUGACAUGCUUAAGAAAUAUGAGCUUUCUAUUUUUUCCUAUUCUGCCUUAAGAUAAAAAGAUCAUUUUCAGGGGUAAGACUUGGACUGUCCUUUUCCAGUGAGUGGCUGAGCACAUGUCUGAUUUGGAGAAUUGGGCACCUUAUAGUGGGAUACAGCCCUGCCUUUAAGCAAAUCCUUUUUGUUCCUCAGUUCCAUUAGCAUUUAAUCAAAAGAACUGUAGAGAAUUGGUGAGCUCUCGGCAUUUUCUCAUUGUUUCUUGCUUACUGUACAAGGAAAGGAAAAUGGUUAGGGGAGCAGGAAAUAAUUUUCUUCCUUGCUUCUCUCUGAUUCUAAAGCUGUUUUGGGUUAUGUGCUCUGAAUAUUUCUGUAAGGAAACAGAAACUAUUUGCAU